rnacentral:rRNA from 1 species
GAUGAACGCUGGCGGCGUGCCUAAUACAUGCAAGUCGAGCGAACGGACGAGAAGCUUGCUUCUCUGAUGUUAGCGGCGGACGGGUGAGUAACACGUGGAUAACCUACCUAUAAGACUGGGAUAACUUCGGGAAACCGGAGCUAAUACCGGAUGAUAUUUUGAACCGCAUGGUUCAAAAGUGAAAGACGGUCUUGCUGUCACUUAUAGAUGGAUCCGCGCUGCAUUAGCUAGUUGGUAAGGUAACGGCUUACCAAGGCAACGAUGCAUAGCCGACCUGAAGGGGUAGCCGCCACACUUGAACUGAGACACCGGCCAGACCCCCACGGGGGGGAGGAGGUGGGAAUUCUUCCGCAAGGGCGGAAAGCCUAACGGGGCAACCCCGGUUGGUGAAUAAGGGUUUUGGGUUGGUAAACCUUUUUUUUUGGGAAAAAAAAAAUGUGGAAGUAACCGUGCACCUCUGGCGGGAACCAAAGAAGAAGCCCCCGGCUACCUCCGU